CCCCAUGUUUGCACCUUUCUUGAAAUAAAUACGAAUGCAUGAGUUGGCAACAGCUACAAAUGAGCUGUAAAAGUCUGCGGCUUGCAGAAGAAUGGACAACAGGAACAACAAAUCUGAACAAGCCAUAGUGAAUGAAACAGAUCUUUGGGGCUGAUCUUUUGGAGCUACUCUUUAAGAUGUGCCUUGGUGAACUUAACAGUAAUGCAGACUGUCGUCAGGGCUGUCUUCAGAUCUUUGGAAUCGUUUUUGCAUUGCACAGUACAUAUUUUAUUAGAUGUUUGCUCGAUUGGAAUAUAUAUCUAGGAUUUGUGUGUGGGCGCAUAUGUGCUUGCCAUUGUAAAUACUUUUGGUGCAAGCUGCUUAAUAAUAUCAAAGUUUUGUAUUUCUAAGUAUAUAUUGACAGAUACAUAAGGAUUUCCAGAACAAUUAGAAUAAAAGAAGGGCUGUAGCUUAAUAAUUCUUCUGCCUUUUAAAUUACUUAUAUAGUUCUUUUAUAGAGUGCCAGUUUGUAUUCAGCCAAAUAAUUAAAUAAGAACAUUUCCAUCUGA